AUGGCACCGCGGCGCACAGUAACUGGUAAGGAAGCGAUGGCAUCCCGCCACGCCGCGUUCCCCGACGCUCGUGACCGCACACAUGGUAAGGAAGCGAUGGCAUCUCGCCGCGCUGAGUUCAUCGCCGCCGGCAGCCAGACAGUUACAUGGGCGGACUUUGAGGCUGCCAUGGCCGAAUGGGUGGUGGAUCUAGAGGCGGCCAAAGUCGCACAGAAGGAGCGGAAAAGGCAGAAAGCAGUCAGGAAAAGAGAGUCCCGCCGCCGCAAGAAAAAAGACGCCGCACGCCGUGGUGAGGAGAGCUUGGCAGAGAUCGAAGCACGGUGGGCUGCCGCCUACAAGGCCGGGAAGGAGAACGCCGUCGUCUGGCCAGCAUACGCCGAUGGCAGCAUGUGA
rnacentral:rRNA from 1 species